UUUAGACAGACACAAUUAAAACCCCAGUGGGUUGACUUUCACCAGCUCGGAAGGAAAAGCUAAAUGAAAACCGUGGAAGAGGAAAAUUAAGGAAAGGGACCCAGGUACAAGGUGUGACGUAAAUCCCUGAGUCCAUCCACAUCAAGUCAUGUCGGGACCACUCGGCCACAUCAUACCAAUCUAACAUCUCCACUUGUAUUCACUCACCAAUCACCAGUGCAGCUAAGAAACAUUUAGGGAAUUGCUGCAAUUGUUCCUGGAGAUGGAGUUGUGUUAAUAGGAAAGGAGAAACCAGAGGGCGGGGGGCUCCAGAGAGACGAAACAGAGGAGACAGUCAGACAGGGUAUUCAACCCCCAGCUCUCAACCACAGAGACCCAAAGUCCAAAAUCAGACUGGUCAAAACCAGGGAAGAUGUGGACUGGUAAGGUGCAGCAGCUGGAGCAGUAUGAAUCAAAAGAAACAGAAGAAGAAGGCAUCCCCAUCUGCAUGGUGCAAGGUGAAGCAGAACCUGAAGUCAUCAUUGAGAAAAAAAAACACAAGCUAGUGCUUCUCUGUCUACUGUGGGAACUCCAGAUGCCAGGCCAGCUUACAACACUGGAGCCCAGAUUUGGCACUGGAAUACCCUCCAUCUUCAGAACACAGCUAGAUGUGGAAUUAAUUAUUUCAGAAAGACAACUCAAAGAAAUGCUAAAUAUUGCAUUGUGUUAGAAAAGCUAGUGGUACAAAGGCUAGCUAUUACGUUUUUCAUAAAAACUUCAUAAAGUGA